GGAGAACUGUCAAAGCGAUCGUUUUAGAGCUAGAAAUAGCAAGUUAAAAUAAGGCUAGUCCGUUAUCAACUUGAAAAAGUGGCACCGAGUCGGUGCUUUUUU
rnacentral:sRNA from 2 species